rnacentral:tRNA from 1 species
GGGAGUAUAGCUCAGUGGUAGAGCAGCUGACUCUUAAUCAGCCGGCCGAAGGUUCGAAUCCUCCUGCUCUCA